GAGUUUGAUCUUGGCUCAGAUUGAACGCUGGCGGCAUGCCUUACACAUGCAAGUCGAACGGCAGCACGGGAGCUUGCUCCUGGUGGCGAGUGGCGAACGGGUGAGUAAUGCAUCGGAACGUAUCCUGGAGUGGGGGAUAACGUAGCGAAAGUUACGCUAAUACCGCAUAUUCUGUGAGCAGGAAAGCGGGGGACCUUCGGGCCUCGCGCUCUUGGAGCGGCCGAUAUCGGAUUAGCUAGUUGGUGAGGUAAAGGCUCACCAAGGCGACGAUCCGUAGCAGGUCUGAGAGGAUGAUCUGCCACACUGGAACUGAGACACGGUCCAGACUCCUACGGGAGGCAGCAGUGGGGAAUUUUGGACAAUGGGGGCAACCCUGAUCCAGCCAUGCCGCGUGAGUGAAGAAGGCCUCGGUUGUAA
rnacentral:rRNA from 1 species